AGAAAUAUUAAAAAUGAUAUAUAAAUAAAUAGCAAUUGAAGGUCAUUCAGCUCUCCAGGCAUUCUGCUCAGUAAACAGCCUCUGUGUACCUUCUGAAACAUUGCAUUGCAAUGUUGAAUGAAGGGCUCAGAUAAUCUCAACAUUUGUCUCCAAAAUAUUCCUUUUUAAAUCCGUCAUGCAUGGAUUUACGGAAUGAAUCACUCACAGCCUUUGCUGGUCCUGAAGGUCUGGAGCCCUCACCAUGUCUUGGGGAGAAUGGAGUUUCACCUCCCAAAUGCCUGCUGUCAUGGGGGAGCUGCUCCUCAUUUAGUGGAAAACAGGUCUUUCCCACCUCCAGGGCUGCCUUUGCCUUCACCAUUCCCUUAUUCUUUUACUUCUUGGCUUGGUCAUUGUGUAAGCUUUGAUUAUAUCAUUGUUCAGUGUUUAAAUUUAAUAGGAAAGGUUUCUAAUAUCUUUAGCCUGGUCUCAGACAUAGCCUCAACUUUCUGAUUCUCUGGUGGAACUGCAGUUUUAUGAGCCAGGUACUGCCACUGUCUCUCAUUCACAACGGAAGGCUUGAGGCUGAGUGGAACGAAUAUGGUCAUACCACUUAAGAAGUGGAGCCAGGAAGCAAGCCCCAUCAGCAGGACCCAGGAGUCAAUAUGUUCUGCAUUGCUGAAGUUGAGAGCAAUAUUGUGCCCAUCUCUGAAACAGAGAUAAAAUAAUGCUACAGUUGGAUCAGAAAAGAAAAAUGAAAAAAAUAAAAGCUUUGAGGAAGAACUUUGAUGGAAGAAACUAUUUCCAUGACCCUUUUCCUCUCUGUCUACAAUGGCAUCACCUUCUUGGUGAAGGGACAUUGAGAUGCUACGGCUGAGAAUGCAGAGUGAAGAGCCCUUGGAGGCCCUACCAGCUGCUACCAGCCUCCUGUCUUCCCUGCCUGGGUCCAUGGCUGGCCUGCCCUGGCAUCCAUGUGGCUUCUGGACUGAGUUCCAGCUGGUGAGAUGCGAGGGGAAGCUGCACCUGCUGCACCCAGACCUGGCUCAUACAACCUUGCACAGGCGACCUCGGGGGGUUUUCCUUCUGUGGACGGACAGCCCAACAAGCUUGGAGCCCAUAAGCUGAGGGUGAAGAGUCUCUGAAUUGCUGCUUGGAGAACAGCCUGCUGCCAGCUAGGAUUGCCUGGUUUGGAUUUUAUCUGAGAGAGAAAUAAACUGCUUUUAUUGUGUUGGACCCAUUGGGCAUUUUGAGCUGAUCAACUAAUAUUACUAACUCCUUUAGUUAUAUGUCCUUCCUUUUAAAAGGUCUAUGAAAGAUGAUUUAAAAAUACAUUCAUGUUGCAUGUUAAAGUAUAUUUCAAAUAAUUGAGAAACUCUAAGUAGGAUAAGAAUAAAGUUAGGAAAUGAGGAUGGAGCCAGGAAUGAAGCUGUUCUGAAAUGGGGGGAACAUGAAGCCCCAUUCUCUGGCUUAGGGGACAAGUUUGAAUCCAAACUAGAAACGGAGGACAGGAAAAGGGAAAUAGAAUCAAUGGCAGAAGAAAAACACAAGUAGAAAUAAUAUCAGUGAUGGCAUUGCAUCUGUCAUCUGGACUGAAGCAUUUAUUUACUGUGAGAAACCCUUUAGGAAUCUAUUUUCAUCCUUUUAUGUAGAUAAAGACAUCGAUAUAGUUGACAUCAAUACAGAUCAAACAUAGACAGUGAUCUAGUUAUAGACACAGACCUAGACUUAGACAUGGGUUUAGAUACAGCUUAGAAAUGCCUUUAUUUCCCACUCUCCUCUCAGCCUCCACCGGUGUGUGAAAUUGUCCAAUCAGAGUCUCCUUUUGAGUCAUCCAUGGACGACUACUCAUUAGCUAACUCAUCUGGCCUCUUUCUUCCUCUAACCUUUUCUUCCCUUUUCUCUGUGCCUCUUCGCCUGCCCCAACUUAGUCCUGAGCAUCUGUGACCUCCUGCUCACUGUGCAUGCCUGCAGCUCUGACUCCUGUCCCGCAAAGUUUCUUGUUCUUCAAAUCUUAUUCUGGGUCACUCCUGUUUUUCUCAAGGAUGCCUGUGGCUUUAUCUCCCUUUCCUUAAUGAUGCACCUCAAACCUCCGUCUCCCCCUGAAAUGCCUCCUCAUUUACCUAACAGGCUGGUGACUGUCCCCUCUGGUGCCUGACCUAGGAAACUGACACAUCUCACAUUCGGAACAAAGGCUGUGCCCUCCUCGACAGUCCUCUACCUGGGGUCUCACUGCAUUGCCAUUGUUUCAGGGCUGCUUCCCAAGCCAGAGAAGUAGCAGCCAUCCUGGAUCGAUUCCUUCCUCUCCCCACAGAUUCCAUCAGUCCACAGUGCUGCUGACUUUGCUUUCUGCACGUUUCUUAGAUUUCCCACUUCUCGCCAUCACCACCCUGGGAGCCACUUGCAAAGUACUGGCCUGGUCACCAUCGCCUCUCGCCAGCUUACAGCAGGUGUCCCCUAUCCAGCCCACCUUCCUCCAGUCUUGCUCCAGUUCAGUAACUUAUUCUAGCAUCUUUAGUAAGUCAUGUGCUGGGGCUGACGUGCCUCUACAUGGCUCCUCCUUCUUGUCUUCCUCUCCUUUGCUAGCAUUACUGACAUAGCCUGCAUGUCCCUUUGUGCCAGGAACCGUUUAAGGUGAUUUUCUGCUAUUAUCCCAUUUAAUCCUCAAUAUAGCUCUCUGAAGAAGGUAGCCUAGUCACCCUCCUAGGAUGGCGAGGCAACCAAGACUGUGUAGUGCCUUCCCCUUGCACGCAUAAGGUCACCUGCACAUUGUUCUCUGCUUGUGGCAUUAUUUCCUCCAGCUUCACAGGGAGAAUCUCAACCCAUCUUUCAUCCCUAAUUAUGGACACCAUCUGCUCAACAAAGGCAUAUGGUGCUCCUCCAUCUGCCCAGAGAGUUGCUGAGCCUCUGUACAUCAACAGCCUUUAGCUGCCUCUACGCCGUGAUUGGGAGGAAGCUCCCUGAGGACAGGGCCAUAUCUGACAUUUCCUCAGUUACAUUUUCCACACUGAGCAUAAUAUGGUCACAUAGGGGGCACUUAUUAAAUACUUCCCUAAAACAUGAGUAAACAUGACAUCAAAAAGGUAUCACUCACUGCAAGGAAAAUAUAGCUUAUGACAUUUUACAAAUGUAUGAAAAUUUAAAUGUAUUUUUUGUUCAUGAAUAGUCACUGUGGUGCACGUAAUAUAUUUAACCAGGAGUAUGUGGCUUAGUGAGUUAAUGCAAGUGAGAAAUAUGUACCCACAUGAAACACCUCAUAUAUGAAGUUUUUUUUUUUUUUGACAGAGUUUUGCUCGGUCACUCACGGCAACCUCCGCCUCCUGGGUUCAAGCAGUUCUCCUGCCUCAGUCUCCCGAGUAGCUGGGACUCUACAGGCAUCCCCCAUCAGGUAUGGCUAGUUUUUUCUUUUUUUGUAUUUUUAGUAGAGAUAGGGCUCUGUCAUGUUGACCAAGCUGUUCUUGAACUCUUGAUUUCAGUUGAUCUGUCUGCCUUAGCCUCCCAAAGUGCUGGGAUUAUGAGUGUAAGCCACCAUGCUCAGCCCUCAUAUAUGAAGCUUUGAGUGCUAUGUAUAGGGAUUCAGACUUUAUAGGCUGCCACUUUCAUGAUAGAUUUACAUUGCACCCUACUGUUAAUCUCUACAUUUUUAAUUUUAAAUUCUUAAGGAUCAUCUUGUCUUAUCUUCAUUCUAGUUAGUUUUUUUUUAAAAUAAAAACUAACAAAUAAAAAACAAACAAAUAAAAAACAGGCUAGACAAGUUAAAUGAUCUGCUUUAGCCCGAAUACUGGCAUAGAAGUAACCAGAAAUGCUCUUACUCCUAAUACAUACAUACAUAUGUCCAUAUACAUAUGUUUCUUAUUAUCCAUAUAAGUGCAUUUUGAUUUUGGACAUAAAACAAAGGACUACAUGAACGAAUAUAUUUGUAUUAUUAUAUAAGCAAUAUGAGCUUACUGAAGAAUAUCUAAAAAUAUUGAAACAGUUUAACAAAAUAAUAUUCAUAAUUCUAUUACCUAGCAGUAACUCCUGUAAAUAUUUUAGGAUAUUUCAUGCUUGUUCUUUUAUUAUCAAUAUAUUUUCCUAUUUGAUAUUUUUGCAACUUGAGUGCAAAAUUUUCACUUAAUAUUAUAAUUAUUAUUUCCCAGUUUAUUAACUAUUAUUUUAAACAUACUUUUAUGUUUGUGUACUCUUCUAUCACAUGUGGUUAUUUUCAUUAACAAACCAUCUAUAAUUUUAGAUGUCUAUCAGCACUAACAUGGGUUAUUGUUGCUGUUAUAUUUAAUAUAAUUUCCUCAGGAUCAAUUUAUAUAUUGUAAGCACUAUGUCAAAUUCCCAAAUAUCUUGAAUUUCUUUGUGUGAGUUGAUUUUUCAAAUGAUUGUACCGGUUUACAAAAGCAGAGUUUAAGAGGAUUCAUCCCAUAUCAUAAAUAAAUAGUGGUUUCAUGAUAUGUUCUAUAAAUGUAUUUUGGGAAAGUUUAAAGUCGUUUAACUAUGGUCAUAUCCUACAUCCUAGAUGUUGUUCUGUUGGGUUUCAUUUAACCAGUCUCAACAAAUGAUACAGAAUAUUUCCUAAAGAACUUAUAAUCCAAUAAAUGACUUUUUGAUGCCUCAUGGAGAAAAUUGGCUUUGAGACCACACUUCUUCCCACUUCUUCAAUAUAAAAGAAAAACAAGUUCUUAUUAACACAAUUUUGGACACUCAAGCACAUUCUAUGGUUCUGUAUUGGUGAUGAAAACUGCCUAUGAGCGACUACCAACCUCUUUUAUGCUGCCUAUUUUUGGAGAUGUCCAAAUUUAAGAUUAAGGAUUCUGGAAAUUUGUUUCACAUAUUCUCUUUCUCUUUCUCUCAAGGUUAGGGUACCCAGUGUCUUCCAAACUAAAGUAUUGUAAUAUUACCCUGCCACCUAGGGGUAUUGCCAAAGAAAUUUAUGCAUGUAUAUAGACAUUUAGUGUAUUGGUCAAAAUGUGACAAUUAUGUUAUUAAAGUAUGUAAUUAACAGUCA
rnacentral:lncRNA from 1 species